GCAUACGCUCUGAGGAGGAAAGCGGGGGACCUGGUAACGGGCCUCGCGCUGCGGGAGUGGCCGAUGUCGGAUUAGCUAGUUGGUGAGGUAAAGGCUCACCAAGGCGACGAUCCGUAGCUGGUCUGAGAGGAUGAUCAGCCACACUGGGACUGAGACACGGCCCAGACUCCUACGGGAGGCAGCAGUGGGGAAUUUUGGACAAUGGGGGCAACCCUGAUCCAGCCAUGCCGCGUGAGUGAAGAAGGCCUUCGGGUUGUAAAGCUCUUUCGGACGGAACGAUAUGGUUACGGUGAAUAACCGUGACUGAUGACGGUACUGUAAGAAGAAGCACCGGCUAACUACGUGCCAGCAGCCGCGGUAAUACGUAGGGUGCGAGCGUUAAUCGGAAUUACUGGGCGUAAAGCGUGCGCAGGCGGUUCGCCAAGUCAGGUGUGAAAUCCCCGGGCUUAACCUGGGAAUUGCGCUUGAAACUAGCGGGCUUGAGUGCGGCAGAGGGGGGUGGAAUUCCACGUGUAGCAGUGAAAUGCGUAGAGAUGUGGAGGAACACCGAUGGCGAAGGCAGCCCCCUGGGUCGACACUG
rnacentral:rRNA from 1 species